AAACCACAUUCAAUACAGAUCUCUUCACACAAUCCAACAACAAUAAUGGAAGGUCAGGAUGUUUGACAAUUGUUCGAUGAGUUAGACAGUUGUUUUUACAUACUCUUUAAGUGGGCUUUCAGCAAGGUCAAGGUCUCCAUGACUUCCCCCUCUGCCCCAGUGGUCUGGUUGAGGACGACACAAUUAUUGUUGAUGCACACAGAAUACUGCUUGACCCCCCAGUUACACAAUACAAUGAAAACAAUGACAGCUGUUCAUGAAUCAUUUAUCUCACUCCUACUUUGAUGUCCGGGACGGUGUUGCCUGGCCACAUGACAAAAAUACUUAGGCCCCUCUUGCCAAGGCAGCUGGCCUAUCCAGAUAGUUCACAUAGUUGUUUCAAGAUCAACUCUUUCAAAAGAUGUAACAAUAACAAGUGCUCAACAGAGAGAAGUUGAGGAUCCCUGUGAUGACACGAUCCAUUCACCCCUCUGCGGCCAACAGCACUGGAGCUCCACAGGCUGCUGUUGAGAUGUGACAAACGGGGACAUCUCCAGACACGCCAUCUGUGGCGUAUUAAGGCGCUGUAGAGGAUGUCAUGCUUGAUAAAGCUGGAAACGGCGACACCCAUUUGAAACUCCUGUCUGGCUCCGGGUCGGGAGAGAUUAAAAGAGUGAUGGACUGUCACUCAGGCUCCAAGCAAAUGACCGGGGGCCGGCCUCACAGGACAGAAGACAAGCCGGAGAUGCGGCCAGGUGAGGGUGACAACAUUCCACAUGCUAGGUAAUGACUCACCUCCAGGACAAAUAGACUGAUGUUAGUGAUGAGUUUCCUCUGCAGGAGGUUACACAUGCUGGGAAAUAUUCACACCCCAGGGAAUCUCGAAACAUCCUUUUCACUUUUAAACUUUAAAACUGUACCUACAUUUUUGGGGGUUUAAAGCUGCCUUAACAACGUAGCACGGUUAAGAAUGUCUCAAUGAGGGGUUCAAAUCAAGGUGCAAUCCAGAAGCUUAUGUACAAUUUUUAAAAAGAUGACAGCAAUCAAAAAAAUUGUUCUCAUUCCCAAUGUGUCAUGUGUUACUAAACCUCUCACAAUUUACAUAAACCUCUGACUACUUGUCUUCAGGGAUUUCUGUUGUUCUCCACAAGCAUCUUCUCUCAGUCACAGGCUUUUUAUGUUUGAUGUCCGAUGUUUCCAAGUCACUGAUGUUACCAACCAAAUCCCCUGGAUGUAAGUGUUGCUAACAAAACUUCACACAAGCACCAAGGUUAAGUAGGCCAUCCCUCUUGAAACACUUUCUCCACAAAGUUACAGACACAGUUUGCCAAUAUGGCGUUCGUCCAUUCUUUUAUCUCUAGAUUAGUGCUAAGCUGCUCGAGUCCCAUGCCUACUUUUCAUUCAAGGUCAAAAACCUUUUUACCACAGUCAAAGGACCUCUCAGAAAAAAAUACCCCAGACACUUGACCUCUGGAAUGAAAUGGUGAGUGUUGUGAACAGUACAAUGUGAAUGACUGUAACUGGGUGAUCAAUCAUCACCUUGGUGAAACACAAUAUGAUGGAGCCCCCACGGUGCAUUCAUAGAUUCUCAAAUCAUACAUCCAGGCUUCGACCUACUUGCUGGUGUGUGAUGUCA